rnacentral:rRNA from 1 species
AUGUUGAUGCAAGACUACUUCACCGACAAUCCAACAUAUCCACAUCACCUCUUUCGGAGAAGGUACCGAAUGCGCCGAUCCCUCUUUGUAAAAAUAGUGCAAGCUUGUGAGGCCAAUUGUCGGUAUUUUACUCAAAGAAGAAAUGUUGCGGGCUUGAAGGGAUUUAGUGCAUAUCAAAAAAUCUCGGCAGCUAUGUGUGUAAUUGCAUAUGGCAUUCCGACUGACUAUGCCUAUGAGUACCUUCGCAUUGGUGAAGAUACUACGAUUGAGUCAGUGCGUGAUGUCUACUACGCAACCUUCUUCUUGUAG